CCUACGGGAGGCAGCAGUGAGGAAUAUUGGUCAAUGGACGAGAGUCUGAACCAGCCAAGUAGCGUGCAGGAUGACUGCCCUAUGGGUUGUAAACUUCUUUUAUAUGGGAAUAAAGUGUUCCACGUGUGGGAUUUUGUAUGUACCAUAUGAAUAAGGAUCGGCUAACUCCGUGCCAGCAGCCGCGGUAAUACGGAGGAUCCGAGCGUUAUCCGGAUUUAUUGGGUUUAAAGGGAGCGUAGGUGGAUUGUUAAGUCAGUUGUGAAAGUUUGCGGCUCAACCGUAAAAUUGCAGUUGAAACUGGCAGUCUUGAGUACACGAGAGGUGGGCGGAAUUCGUGGUGUAGCGGUGAAAUGCUUAGAUAUCACGAAGAACUCCGAUUGCGAAGGCAGCUCACUGGACUGCAACUGACACUGAGGCUCGAAAGUGUGGGUAUCGAACAGGAUUAGAUACCCUAGUAGUC
rnacentral:rRNA from 1 species